rnacentral:rRNA from 1 species
CAGUAAGGAAUAUUGGGCAAUGGACGCAAGUCUGACCCAGCCAUGCCGCGUGCAGGAAGACGGCCUUAUGGGUUGUAAACUGCUUUUAUCAGGGAAUAAACCCUUGUUUGGGACAAGGCUGAAGGUACCUGAAGAAUAAGCAUCGGCUAACUCCGUGCCAGCAGCCGCGGUAAUACGGAGGAUGCAAGCGUUAUCCGGAUUCAUUGGGUUUAAAGGGUGCGCAGGCGGGCUAAUAAGUCAGGGGUGAAAUAUUACGGCUCAACCGUGGAACUGCCUUUGAUACUGUUAGUCUUGAGU